UCUGUUUACCUUUUAUUCUCAUUUUGUUCUGUUUGCAUAGAUAACUUGGUCUUUCCUGGCAUGUUCACGUCCUUUGAUGUGGUACAAAUAAAGGUACGGGCCACUGUUACAUGAUUUUCAUCCUCCCUACACACAAGCAAGUUUACUGUCCACAGUCCACCAUCUAUCAAAAGACAACAUAAAAGUUCAUUGUUACUUUCUUCAAAUUAUUGACUUGUUAUUAAGUGAUGAUCAGUGACUAUUUCACUGAGUAUUUAACUAACAGUAUGAAUCUUCACUUAAUCCCAGACUGGGUCAAAAGGUUUUUCUUCCUAUUAAAAUUAUGUUGUCUGAAAACGUUAAUUUCAGCAUUGAAAGCAUUAGAAAAAUAGAAUGCAAAAGAGAAUUGACUGUACAGUUCAGUUGUGUAAUUUCUGUGGAGUGGAAAUACUUGAAGGUAACAGUUAUAAUGAUUUAUGUAGCAAAGAAAAUAAUAUGCAUCUUCAAGGAAAAAAACCUUCUCUGCAUAGUGGAAGCUGCUAAAGAAAGAAAGUGUGUUACAGAGGUUGUAAUGCUUCUUCAUGACAGCUUAUAUACUUACAAAUGAUAAAGUCAGACAGCUUCUCUGAUACAGGAUCUUAUGUUAUAAACUCAGGAGUCUUGUUUGUGCUUGUUGUGAGAACCUUAUUAAAGUGUGUUCACAGACUAACAUGCCAGCAGAUUCUGGGAGGUGUGUCAUAACUGUAUUUGUACUAAGAGUGGCAGAGUUUGAGGACGUGUGAAGUGAUGUUGGCACCAAUGUCCUGGACCGUGAGUGUGUUUGUGGAGUUGUCCACUUUGUGUCAGCGUACGUUCUUCUUCAGCCAGAUGUGUAAAUGUAGAUGAAGCAGCUCAAGGAAUAAAAAGCUGGAUGGAUGGGAGAAAGAGGAAAAUGUGGCUCGUAGCAUGAAGAGCUUUGAGCUCUCAAUAAGAUCGCUCUUUCCAUUCAGCAAAAUAGCUGGCUUACUGUGAAUUAAUACUUUCUAUUUUAACCUUUUUAUACUGUCAUAAUCCUGUUUGAGCUUAACCUAGAGGCCUAGCUUCAAGGAUGUUUUCAGGUUUCUAACCCUGAUGAGCAAGUUGUAUUUCUUACCUCACAAAUAGGCUCAAACAUUAAGCCACUAAUGUUUUACCACUAUUUCUAAUUUUUAUGGCAUGUAUCUAGACAACCAGCAUAUGCUUAUGCUGACAAAGUACUUACUAUCAGUGUAACAGGAGCUAAAUAAAAAACAAUCCUAAAAAGCUUUACAUACUAUUGUGGUUCUUUGACACAGAUAUAGAAAAAGGUCAUUCUGCCUCCGACAGUUACUAGAUGAAUAAUUGAAAAAUUCCUCAAGUCUGAAAGUGUCUUUACUGGUGCAGGGGAACCUUUUUUGUGGAACAUUUGCACAUAGAGAUGAAAGUACUAUCAUUAAAGUUGCUUUCAAGGUUUCAAAAGAAAGCAUAAAUCUUUACAACCAUUUCCAUAAUGAACCAAACAUAAUAAUCCAGAUCUUGGUGCCAUUUUCAGCAUGUAUACAGUCAGAAAGGAGGCACACAUUUUCACACCACUGUAUGUGUGUAAAACACUAUAGGCUAAAUGCAGUUACACCACAAGUAGUUUUAGUUUCAGCUUGGCAUGAUCUAGCUGUAGCUCUCGAGGUAGAGCAGAUCAUCUACUGUUCGAUCCCCGGCUCCCCCAAUCUGCAUGCCAAGUAUCCUUGGGCAAGAUACUAACACUAAGUUGCAUCUGAUGCAUCCAUGGGAGUAUGAAUAUACAUGAAUGUUAGCUAGAAAGCACUAAAAGCUUAGAAGAAAGUUUGUGUGAACAGGUGUGAAUAUAGAGCACUUUGAGUGCUCCGGGAGAGUAGAGAAGCGCAAUAUAAGAAUCAGUCUGUUUACCAUUUACCAUGUCAAUUGCAAGUAAUGCUUAUCAUGUUGUAUGUAUUCUACAAAAGAUCUGUAUAUUAUAUAUAAUGGAUAACCAUUACCAACUUAAAGGAAAAACAAUGGUUGUCAUGGCUUAUAGUUUCCAUAUUCAGUUCAAUUAAGAUUCAAUUUCCUGUCGUGGUUUCGAAGUAAUUACAUGGAUGGGAAAGCAGAGCAGACAGAACAGGAGUAGACUGAUGUCUAUGAAUGGUUUUCCAACCACCAUUCAUAGACAUCAGUCAGUAUUUUUACAAGCCACUUUAAAAGUGAGAAGAAUAACACAGCAGAGCUGCAUCUGUUUGUGAGUGCUAUGAAAUCAUUUUUUGCUGAAGGUUUCAAUGAAGUUCUGGUUUCCGGAGCUGUUUCCAUGCUGAGAUGUUUUGUGGUGUUUGUGGUGUUUAAUAAGAAUGUGUGGAACUGUUAAUAUUAUUAUUGUAGCUGCAUUAAAGCCUGACACAUGCGGACAGGCUUUGAAAACACAUUAAUGUGUAAUUAUGUUUUCCAACAAAUUGAUGCGUUUUCCUAAACUUAUAAUUGAGCAGGUGCAAGCAGAGCUAGGAUUAUGCUUUUAAAUUGGGAGGACUAAGAAAACAGAACUCAGCUGACAGCAGUCUGCAAUAUACUGGCAUCUUUAAAGUAUACAACAUUUGAUAUGCCAAUGCAUCAACCAGUUUUUCAGUAAAUUACUAUUUUGUAUUUCUUUUAAACAGGUAAGAUCUUCCCUUUUAUUCUAGUUGUUUAAGCACACCGCCUUUCUUUAAUUCACCUUUCUGUCUAAGCCCAAAUUUACACUGUUUAUUGGAGCUUAGAUGACCAGAACUGAUCCUUUUGUCAAAAGAUCUUUUGAGAAGAAACCAAAGUUCAAUAAGUAAAGCUGUGAAACAAUCAUUAGUAGCACUUGUUUACUGCUGGUCUCUGUGGGUCUGCCGCCAUGACACGGGCCUGCUGCUUGUUGGUUUUGGCUCUGUUACUCUCACCAUGGCUGUUGUGCUGGUCCUUCAGAGGUGGUAAUAAUUGUGUUGAGAUUACAAUUAUUGACCAGAAUAAUUAUGAAUUUGGUUUUUGCCACGAUGGAGCAGCCGUAGUCUAAUAACAGGCUAAGUGGGGUACAAGAAAUGAAGUUUUAAUAUUUGUACAAAAAAUAAAAAAUAAAAUGCUGGGUCAUCUGGGAUGAUAAUAGAUUCUCAUGUCUAGUUUAAAAUAAUAAAAUUCUUUAAAUUGUAUCGCAUUUUGGUGGUUACCAAAUUUUUACAGUUUUACAAUGAAAAACAUCCAAACAUCCAUCCUCCAACCAUACUCUGUGCCUAAAGGAAGCCAAGAAUCACAUACCCUUGAAAAAAGAUCGCAUCCCAACUUUCACAGAAGCACAAAACAAAAUAAUCAUAUAGUACGUUUUACAAGCAGUACUAGUAAUAUUUCAUAGAAAUGUCCUGAACAAACAAACAUUGUUAUGACAUGUUUCUCUUUGUGUGCACGUGUUGGUGUUUUUCAAUCUUAACUCUACUUUAAGGGACAGAAUUUCGAAGAUUAGGUGAAAUAAACUGGGGGUUUUUUUUGUUGUUGUUGUUUUUAUUUAAUAUAUUUGUUUCAUGUUGUGAGAUGGCUGCUGAUGGGAAGUGUAAUCUUUGGCAUUAUACAUUACAACUAUAAACAUUUCAGGGAUCAUGUUUCUGUGUCUUUUCUCUAGAAUUUUAAACAGGAUCCGUUGUAAUUAUUUAUCCAGUUCCAACUCAAUGUUCUUUAACUAUACUAAAAUUUAAAUAAAGCCAUUUUUAUCUCCUACUAGGCCUUGGUGCAGCCCUGCAGUUCUUCCUUUGUCAUGUUAGCACACUUUUUCACUAUUUUUACUGAGUGACUCUUAUUAGUUGCUGACUGACUUACUGACACUAGUCUAAAUCAUAAGGUAGGCAGUUUGACUAAUGGGUUGGCCUAUCAGUUACAACAUGAAUGUUUGGCUUCAAGUCUCCACUGACAAAGGCACUCUUGGGCAUAUUUGACACUUAUCAUGUUCACAGCGUUCAUAAGUAGAGCCUAGUAGUUUUAUUCUGAAUUGAAUUGUAGUUUCUUAAAAAAAAAAAAUGUAAAAAGCUAUCCAGCUGGAAUACAAUAAGUAGGUAACUGUUUGACCAGAACUCAUGUAAAGUUACUGAAUGUUAUACUUACGUUAACUUCUUAUCCACUGCCAAACAGGACUGCUCAAUUUAAAUUGUGUACACAGAGGCAGAGUUUGGACAGUAAAAGUAACUUUCCCAAACUGUGAGCUACAAGAUGGCAUCAAAUGACAGGUUCUAGAUUAGACAUCAAGGACCGAAAGUCGUCAGAGGUUGACUUUUACCUUAUUAACCAAUUGUAACAUCAGUCAGAGUAUUUCAUUUGAUUGGUCAUCUCACACAACAUUAAUAGCUGGCUAACAGGGUCAUGGAAAACACAAGGGUUACAGUCCAGUUACAGACAUCCAGCUGCUCUGACUCAUAAUGUCUAUUGUACAAAUCAUCAGACUCAAGUAUGCCAAGCUCAAAACUCCCACUUGAUGGUCUUUUAAUGGACCGACAUUAGAUUAUCUUUUGUGCUCUCUAUUGCCAAAUUAACUCAUUCCCGUUGCUCCCUUUUCCUUUUAGACUCAGAUAUGCACCAUCCAUGUUUAAGCCCCUUUUCCAUUAGUACCCACUCAGAUCGCCAUGGUCUUCAGGGUUUUCCAUUAGGUCAUAGUAUCAGGUACCUCGCUCAAGGUUUCAAGCGAUCCGAGUAGGUACUAAAAUGUGACGUCGUCAGACUGCAUGCCACCAAUUGCCUGGUCAGUAGCAUCACUCGAUGAGUCAUGAGGGCGUCUUGUUCACUAAAAUUUAAACUACCGUUUUUGAAACCUGACCAUGAGGAAAAUGGCUCCAAAAAACAACACCAUGUUCCCCCGAGUCUGAAGAAAAGCCACAGACCGAGCAGCAGGUAUAUUCUUGCCUCUUCACCGAUUUUGUAGCAUUCAUGUCGCAGGACAUUCAUAUGCGUUGCCAUUACGACAACAACGCAGUUAGGUUGUACCGGAUUGUAAUGAAAACCCAGUCGAUCAGAGUAGAGUCGUGGCGAGUCCUUCCAAGUAGGUACUAGUGGAAAAGGUUUACUGUCUUAACCUCAUGCACCUGUUGAGUUAUGAAGUCAGUGACGGUGUCAGUCUUGCAUAUAUUAUAGAUGUAUAUAUGUUAGACAUUUAUGAUUUAUGAUUAAUGUAUCCACAUCCAUCCUGUUAUGGGUUUGUUUAAAUGGUGUUUUAAACUUAUCUUUGUCUGACCCUUAUCAAUGGGUCUAAACACUCCCAAAGGGGCAGAGGCAAGUCCUGCAAUGUCCCCACCACAUGCAGGCACAGAGUGCACUAAAAUACUCUACCUGAAUGCAGCAUCCCCAUAUCAGUUUAAUAUGCCGUAAACAAAGUUUAAAUAAAAUACAUUUUUAACACAUGUAUCAUAAAAUACAGCAGUUGGGUAAUACUCGACCAGAGUUAUUGUCCAUCAGGUUACUCAGAGUUGACAUCAGAUACUGAAUACAAUUCAAUUUACCUUUUUUAGCUCCGACUCAAUUUUCCAUCUUUGGUAGAUGCAACGCGCUUCUCUGGAAAAUGCCUGAUUUCAGUUGCACAUCAAAUGUUUCUUCAAAAUCCACUAUAAUACAAUCAUUCCUUCUAAUUCCACUGCCGUUAAUGUCACAGUAUGAUUAAACCAUCCAGUCAUCCAGUCUCUUCCGUUUAUCCUUAUCAGGGUUAGUUAAGCUAUCCCACUAACUGCAUGUCUUUGGACUGUGGGAGGAAGCCCGAGUACCCGGAGAACCCACACUAACACAGGGAGAACAUCCUAACUCCACACAGAAAGUCCCCACCAGGUGGUGAAGUCGAACUUAGGACCUUCUUCCUAUGAGGCAACCGCAACACAUGCUUCCCUGAUUAAUACUACCCAACAGUAGUUAGCAGUGUUAGUGUCAAAUCCAUCUGUUUAGGGUGUAAUGGGAGCUUUGUGCGCCUUGAGGCAGCUGUUGUUGUAAUUGAGUACUUUAUAUAAAUAAAAUUGAAUUGAAAGAUUUAUCUAAAAUUGUUACGUUGGUCUUUUUUCUAUAACAUUGUUAACAUGGUGCUCUAGGGGAAUAGUAAAAAACUGAACAAAUACAUUAGCUGUGUCUUAUGGAGAAGAAUACAGAAAAAUACAAAUAAAUGCAUUGCUCAUCCUGUAGUGGGGGGAAGCAAGCACUGUGACUCCAUGUAGAAUAAGGUUGUGGUAGAAGGGCUUAAAACAGAGUGUGGUCCUGUUGACUGAGAUGACUGUGUUGUUUUUAGAUUAAAACACGAAAUUAACUACAUGUUGGAAAUCUCUUUGCUUUCUUGUAGAAUUGUAUUUCAUUUAUUUUAUUUUUCUGUUGAAAUCACAACAGCAUAGUUGGCGAGUUUCAAUAAUACUCCUCGCAAUGGCAGCAUUUCUCAACAUCCAGCAGCGUACCAUUAGGGGACAGUGUUUGAGUCAGGCUUUUUUAUAGAACUUUUAGAUCUGCCAAAUGAAAAAUCUUUAAACAAAGAAUGUGUGCUUCGAAAAAACUAAAACUAAAAUGAGGCUUUAUCUGAAAAGAUUGCAUCUUUGAGUUCUUAGCAUGUGGCCAAAAAAGACAAACCUAACCUGCUUAGGUUUGUUGGGUUUGGGUUUUUUAAAUAUAUUUAUAUUAUAUUGAGCAAGGGAUUUGAACAAACAAUGAUGUUUUAACCGAACAGCCAGCUGAGAUCAAUCACGUGAUUUAUUUGGGGUUUUUUAUAUAUCUGUUUAAGUAUAUUGUAUGUACUUAUUUAAUAUAGAGGAUAACAAUAUUGCUAACCAUCCACAAACUGCUUUGCUAGGUGUGACAGGGCGCGGUCUGCCACUGCAGGGCAGGUGGACGCACCUGAGCGGCAUCCGCAAUCACGCCUCACCAGCAUAAAAAGGCUGUACUGGGUCCUGUCGUUUGUUGUUGUUGUUGGUGAUGUGUUUGACUGGCAGCUGGAAAGCUGCAAUCGGAACAAUAAAGAUGCUGAAAAGCAUAAAAAUGUC